GGGCCCCGUUGCAUAAAACUUUUGCCAGACUUAUUUUUGCCAUAGUUUUUCUAUGGCAAAAACCUUAGUUUUUUGCCAGAGUUUCAAAUUCGGUCAAAAUUUCAUGGCAAAAAAACUCUGGCAAACUUUUGCCAGAGUUUUUUAAUUUGCCAGAGUUUUUUAAGACUGAAUAAACUUGGACGAGGAUGAACGCCGAUAUCAGCCGAUAUUGCGAUCGGUAUCUGCAGCUGCUGAAAAAAUCUUGGAGACUCCACAAAACCUUAAAUUGUUGAGGUAUAUACACAGGAGCAACUCACGUGCAUGUGUGACCUUUUUGAGAAGAAACCACGCAAGACUGUUGGUUAGCAAUCACCAUGUAAAAGGGUUUGCAGAAACCAGACAGAGGGCCUGGGUGGAGAUGCUAUUGGCUGCCUAGGUCGGACUGCCUCCAACCUGAGGUGGUCUUGGAGUGAUCUAACAUUAGAAUGAAUGGUUACGCUAGGAAUCAGACAAAGACUGGAGGUGAACAGUUUGGUAAAGUGAAGUCAAAAUGGAAAUCGUGCUGGCAGUCAUGAGGAACAAGGCCAAGCAUUGGGUCCAUCCAUGGCCAGGAGACAGAGACUGAGACAUCUGAGCAACUGCUUUCACAUAAGGCAGCCUGCUUCUGGACAUGGGGAAGCCAGAGAAAGAGAAGGAGGUUGAGGGGGAGCCUCAAGCUGUUCCCGAGGCACCAUUGACAUCCAGGGUAGAUGGGAUCUACCGGUAGUUGAUUGUGUAGGACACCAAGAUGAAACCCAGCGUAAGAGAAGAAAGAGAAGGUGAUCUUCCUGUUUUGACCAGCACACCGAGUACCAGGAGCAUGGAUCUGCUGCAAGUUCAACAGGAGACUCAGAAUGCAGCAAGCUAUGCUGCAAAUAUUUUAUAUAAAAAAUCAUCCAUGAUGAUUUUAAAAUUAUCCUUAAUUGUUUGCAGCAGUUUGUUAAUGGAAAUCAGAAGUAAUGUUGAAUAAUUCAACUUCCUUUUUUUUUGUAUUUUACUACUGAUGUCCAUUAACAUCUACAAUAAAUAUUACCCGUGUUCUAAGUAAAUCUUGCUGAAUUUUAAAGAAGGCAUCAAAUACUUAUUGGUGCAUAUACUCCACCUUUUUUUAUGAUGUUCCCUUGUUUUCCUGCUGAAAAGCUCAAUGCAGCUUUAACUUAAGCAAAAUAUGAACAAAAAUCUUUAUUUGUAGAAAUCCAUACAGCAAUAUCUAUAUUACAGAGAUUGGGCAAGAUUGUUUCAUUGACAGUUACUAAUUAAAAUAAUUAAUUUCAUGUUAUUUAUGAUAGUUUCUCAAACAAUUUCCAUUGAAAAUGAAAUAAAUGAAAUGUAUGAGAAAUUUUAAGAACAAUAUUCAUCAAAAAGAAUCGUUUGCUGCUGCUAUUGUUUUUUUAGAAGCAAAUUUUACAUUUUAAAAUAAACCAGGCUAUGUUGGCUUUUAUGAAUUCAUCUUUUCUGUCAACUCUAAAAAUAGUAGCUUCAAUGCCACAUACAAUUUAUAUUCUUCUGGAAUUAAUAUUUAAAUUAUUUUAUUAGAUGUUUUCAUCAUCUGUAGAAUUUUUAGUAAAACUUGAACUGCAGAAACACUUCAAAAGAAGAAAUGAGUAGACUGAAAACCUGUUGAAUAUUCUUUUUAGAAAAUGAAGUAAAAUCACCUUGAACUUUGGAAAUUUCCAAAAGCAUAUGUUUGAGCAAGUAAUAUGAAAAUGAGUUUUGCUUAGGUCACAUUACGGCGAGUAGAAAUAAGCCGUUUUAUGUAUUAUUAUACGAAUCACCUACAUGAAGCUGGUACAAGGAUGAAUAAAAUGGCUGAUUUCGACUAGCCGUAAGGCCACCGGCCGGCAAAUGUGACCUAGGCAUAAAUUGCUGAUGUCAUUGCCUCAUAAUUUUAUACAAAAUAAUGGCAAAGACUACAUCCUUUAGGAUUGAGAAAGUUAAACUUGAACUUUAUUCUCAUCUCAGUAGAUAGAAGAUAAUGUUAUUCAUUCAAUACUUGAAUAAGAUUUGAACAAGUGCCUUGCAAUGCAACAUAAAAAUUAAGGUUCUGAAAUCUUAAAGGGAAUCCCUGUGCAAGAACAGUUUUAAAGUUUAUUUAUACAUGUUCAUCUUGCAAGUCUGUUAUAUUUUCUGUCAGCAUUGUUUGUGGAUCCCACACUGGUGUCAUAAGCCAUGGUUCUUAUAUAUAUAUCCUGCAUUGCCCAACAGGAUGCCUUGCAAUUCGCCAUCUGCAAAAGGUUAUCCAA